AGCGAUGUAGCCUAGCACUGCCCCCUCCAUUUCCUGCCAUUGGUCCACACAGAGGAGAGGAGGGAGGACCCUAUUCCCACAGAGUGAGCGAAGAGGGGAUUGUCCAGACCCCCGCAGCUACCAAGCCAGGUUGCAACGCCCUGCUCCUGGCCUGAAACCCAGGCUUCCGGCCAGUUCCAGGCUCUUCCCUGCUGGGCCUGCAGAGAACAGGCUGCCCACUCCCGAGAAAAGGCCCUGAGCUCCACUGCUCCAGCAAGAGAGAGAGAAACCGGAGGGGAAGCCGAGCUCGAGCUCCUGCACUUCCUCUCUGAGCUGGAAGCUGCGCUGGCCAGCGUUCAAGACUUAAUUAGCUGCAAUAACUGAAUAAUCAUCUUUAAGAUGAUAGUGGUAAAGCUCACGAGCAUCCCGUCGCCAGCUUGACUGUGCCAAGCUGGCUGGACUGAGCAGGAUGACUCAGUGCCCCAUGGAGGCUCCCCUGCCUGUGAUUCUCUGCGUGAUGGGAGAGGUGAGGUUCACCGUCUUUGGGGGGGCCUGCUUCCAUGUCUGUGGGAUGGAGACUAUACCCACUGGGCAAGGCGGUUGUCAGGAGUCAGCGAGAGGCUUGGAUGUCCCAGACAAAGGGACCCUGGUACUUGCUGCUGAAUGACCUUGGGCAUGCCACUUCAUGUCUGCAAGCCUGCUUCCUUCUCUGGAAAAUGAGCACCCACCUCUGAAGACUGUCUGGGAGGCUUGAGUGGGCAGGUGUGCAAGCAGUGCUCGGCCCCAGGGCCCGGCACACAGCGGAUGCUCUGCAAAUAUCACUUUUCCCCCUUUUUGGUUUUCUUUUGUCUUUCUGCUGGAUCUUUGGAGACAUUCCUCGUUUGGGAUGAGAGGGAAAGACUUGGUAGGAAGUUUGGAAGGAGCUGAUGUUCCAGAAACAGUUCUCUUUCCUGAUACCUGUCAACACUCCUCUGGUGGUGUAGAGUUUCGGGGUGCUGGGGCCUUUGAGGUUUAGGACGAGAGCAGAAGACACAGUGUGCAAGCUCCUUUCCAGGACCCAUCGUGCAUGUUCUUCCCUGGAACCCGAAGGAGGGAAAGGCCUCCAGAGCCAACAAGUUCCUUCCCAUAGAACUAUUAGGUUGGACGAUGGGAAGUGCCAUUUUUCUAGGUCAAAAGUUGGCUGAAUAUAAUAAGCAAGCCUUGUGAAAUAAAUAAGACCACUUCACUUGACUUUAAUUAAGUCUGCAUUAAGCCAUGUGCUGCUUUAUGCAUCUAUUUAAGGACGUGAGAAAAAAAAGUAUAAAUGUUUUAAUAAUGAGAUUUA